rnacentral:lncRNA from 1 species
CGUAUAGGAUAGAGAUAUACCUAUAGGCCAUAUGUAGUUAGAUUAGAACCUGAACUUAAUGAAUCUAAUUUAAUUUCAAUUCACAUAGGGAUAUAGUGUCUUGGUUAAAAUAGAUAUUUUUAUAAGAUGUGUCACGACCCAGUACUCUCUUCGAGUCUGUGACAACCGCCGUGAUGUUCCGAUAGACAUUCACUACCCAAAAUGCCAACCAAAACCCCACAAGGCUUUAAUAUCAGUUUUCGCACCUCCCCUGUGAGCAACAGUUGUUAAGUAUCAUGUUUUGAGAGAUUAUAAACUAUUUCCAAAUCAAAACAAUAGAAAAAUAAUUUUUUGCUCACAAGGGCAUUUUGGUCAUUUUUCCUCAAAAAUCUCGAAACCAGCUAAAAAUGUAGUAUGCGAGUGAAAAACACAUAUUUCAUAAUAAAAAAUAAGUUUAGAUGUCUAAAACAUUCAUUUAAAGUGAAAUUAUAACUAUUUGAAUAUAAUAAAAAUAUUCAAUAAAACAUUUUAUUUUCUUAUAAAACAAUAUUUAUAGAGUUACCAGUAAAUAAUUUUUGUAGCGUAAAAGCUAAAUAAAUUCAAACAUACUGUAAUAUAGAUAACCAAAGUAUAAAAUUUAAUUUACAGUGACACGUGGGCCCACGAACGACCAAAAGCAUCAAAAGCGGUAAACCUAUAGUUUUUGAGGAUGCAAGUCCAACUGUAGCCCUCAACAAAGUGAGCUAUCUACAAACUAUCCUGAGCUUGAAAUUGGUGGAAAGGAGGGUGGUGAGAUUAUAUAAUCCCAGUGAGUAAACAAAUACCAUCUAAAAUAUCUAAAGCUGAGUAAAUGGAGACAGAUAAAAUAGUUUAACAUACUAUAAUUCAUCACCUUUCAACUCAUUUCAACCAAAUUAAAUCAAUUCAUAUAAAUCGAGUAAUCAACAUGGCUUAUGAAUUUCUUAAAACUUUGGCUCGUGCCAAAAUCAUUCUCAUACUCAGUUAUCAGCGAUACCUUGACCGAGGGCUAUCCCAACCGAGUCCGCCAAGACUAUUAAAAAGUCAUGUACGUAUAAAUCAUGUUUUUAUUUUGAAAACAUAGCCUUUCCUUGGGGUUGGCUGAGUCCACCCUCACGUGGUGGUUUGGCGUGAAGUGAACUCUAAAGUUGUACCUCAGGAGUUACCCUACACGCCUCUCCGACCGAGGUAAGAAUAUAACGGGGUUACCGUACCCCUCUAUCAGGCUAGUCCACGAAACCUGCCCACUGUAGCAAGCUAAACCCACCAAUUCAAUAAAAUCUCAACCGCAUGACAUGACAAUUAUAUCACAAUCCAGCCUCUCAAGGCUAAAUACACAAUUCAUAUAUUUCAACACAAAUACCAAUUCAGCCAUUCAUGCAAAUAUUGUCAUAAGUCAUUCGAUUCAAACCAUGAAUUUACAACACAUGAAAACAAUCUCCAAUUACUCUAUUUUCAAACCAUCAUUUCAUUUCAAGACAAUGUUAUAAAAUAAUUUCAUUAAAUCACAUUUUGUUUAUAAAACCUAAAGAUUUACCAUUUAAACACAUUUUUUCUAUAAAAUCACAAAAAUGAAUAAAAACUACUUUAAAUAAUUAAGACGAUAGUAAGGUUACUCACUAUUUCGGGAGUCGAAUUUCGAGUACUCCGAUUCUUGAUCCUCGGGUACUAUCUCUUUUCUUUUCCUAGAAUGCUUACCACCUAGACAUAAUGCACAAUAAGCCAUUUACUACAUUUGUGCUAAAUUGUUAUAAAACCAAUUCAGGCUCUAUACUAAUGCAUGAAAUGGGAUGUAAAUUGUUCAGGUAACUAUCUAAAUACGGUGUUCAAUAUAAAUUCAAUUAUGUACCUAAAUAAAACAAUAUUGGCCUAAUUCGAUCUAUCACUCGAUUAAUUGGCCAAUACGUCAAAUUCGACUCCAAAUAAUUCCAUUUUCCUCCCAAUACUCCAAAUCAUCAAACACAAAUUAAAUAGCUUGAAAUAUGGCAAAAUCAUCCUCACAUUUUCUCUUGGAAAAUUCGGCCAUGGUGGGUGCAUCAACACUAUAAUUUUUUAAGCUUGAUUCUCACACCAUAAAUCACUAAUUCCUAACCAAAUCACUUGAAAUAAAAUGAAAAUCAUCAUCAAUAUUCCACAUGGAGAAUUCGGCCAAUGAUGGGUGAUGGAAGAACAUGAAUUUUUCUUGCUUGAUUUUCAUGCUACACAUCACCAAUCAACUAAAAACACUAAAAUACAUUGAAAUCUAACCAUAUCAAGCAUCAAAACCUUUCUCUAAGUGUUCAGCCAGCAAGAUACCCAUCAUGAAAUCAUGUGAUUCAACCAUGAAAAAUGCAAAAGAAUGUAUGGGAAAGGUAGAUCAUAAGUCAAAAUUAAGAAAUUUUACUUUUGAUUACUUGAUUCCUUGAAAUCCACCAAAUUUUCUCUUGAAUUUUCACCCUAGGAUUCUUGUUCUUUCUUUUCUUCCUUUGUUCUUGCUUUGUUUGGCCAUAUGAAGAGAAA